rnacentral:rRNA from 1 species
AUACAUUUGGACGGGUUCAGUAACGCGUGAGAAUCUAACUUCAGGACGGGGACAACAGUUGGAAACGACUGCUAAUACCCGAUAUGCCGCAAGGUGAAACCUAAUUGGCCUGAAGAAGAGCUUGCGUCUGAUUAGCUAGUUGGUGGGGUNAGAGCCUACCAAGGCGACGAUCAGUAGCUGGUCUGAAAGGAUGAGCAGCCACACUGGGACUGAGACACNGGCCAGACUCCUACGGGAGGCAGCAGUGGGGAAUUUUCCGCAAUGGGCGAACCACCUGACGGAUCAACGCCGCGUGAGGGAGGAAGGUCUUUGGAUUGUAAACCUCUUUUCUCAAGGAAGAAGUUCUGACGGUACUUGAGGAAUCAGCCUCGGCUAACUCCAUGCCAACAGCCGCGGUAAUACGGAGGAUGCAAGCGUUAUCCGGAAUUAUUGGGCGUCAACCGCCCGCAGGUGUUCAGCCAAGUUUGCCGUCAAAUCAUGUUGCUUAACGCUCUAAAGGCGGUUGAAAAUGGCAGCCUAG